CACGUAGGCACCAAGCGUUGUCCGGAUUUAUUGGGCGUAAAGCGCACGUAGGCGGCUUUGUAAGUUAGAGGUGAAAGCCCGGGGCUCAACUCCGGAACUGCCUUUAAGACUGCAUCGCUUGAAUCCAGGAGAGGUGAGUGGAAUUCCGAGUGUAGAGGUGAAAUUCGUAGAUAUUCGGAAGAAACACCAGUGGCGAAGGCGGCUCACUGGACUGGUAUUGACGCUGAGGUGGCGAAAGCGUGGGGAGCAAACAGGAUUAAGAAACC
rnacentral:rRNA from 1 species